rnacentral:rRNA from 1 species
GGCAAAAGCUCAAAUUUGAAAUCUGGCUCUUUCAGAGUCCGAGUUGUAAUUUGAAGAAGGUAUCUUUGGGUCUGGCUCUUGUCUAUGUUUCUUGGAACAGAACGUCACAGAGGGUGAGAAUCCCGUGCGAUGAGAUGAUCCAGGCCUAUGUAAAGUUCCUUCGAAGAGUCGAGUUGUUUGGGAAUGCAGCUCUAAGUGGGUGGUAAAUUGCAUCUAAAGCUAAAUAUUGGCGAGAGACCGAUAGCGAACAAGUACAGUGAUGGAAAGAUGAAAAGAACUUUGAAAAGASAGUGAAAAAGUACGUGAAAUUGUUGAAAGGGAAGGGCUUGAGAUCAGACUUGGUAUUUUGUAUGUUACUUCUUCGGGGGUGGCCUCUACAGUUUAUCGGGCCAGCAUCAGUUUG